AGAGUUUGAUCAUGGCUCAGGACGAACGCUGGCGGCGUGCCUAAUACAUGCAAGUCGAGCGAAUUUACGAGGGCUUGCUCUCGUAAAUUAGCGGCGGACGGGUGAGUAACACGUGGGCAACCUGCCUAUAAGACUGGGAUAACUUCGGGAAACCGGAGCUAAUACCGGAUAAUUCAUAUCUACUCAUGUAGAUAUGCUGAAAGACGGUUUACGCUGUCACUUAUAGAUGGGCCCGCGGCGCAUUAGCUAGUUGGUGAGGUAACGGCUCACCAAGGCCACGAUGCGUAGCCGACCUGAGAGGGUGAUCGGCCACACUGGGACUGAGACACGGCCCAGACUCCUACGGGAGGCAGCAGUAGGGAAUCUUCCGCAAUGGACGAAAGUCUGACGGAGCAACGCCGCGUGAGUGAUGAAGGUUUUCGGAUCGUAAAACUCUGUUGUUAGGGAAGAACAAGUACCAGAGUAACUGCUGGUACCUUGACGGUACCUAACCAGAAAGCCACGGCUAACUACGUGCCAGCAGCCGCGGUA
rnacentral:rRNA from 1 species